AUGAAGGCCUUCGGGUUGUAAACCACUGUCACGCGUUAUGAACACCGGGGAGACAAUAUCAAUCCGGAUGACAAAGGCGCGAGAGGAAGCCACGGCUAACUCUGUGCCAGCAGCCGCGGUAAGACAGAGGUGGCAAGCGUUGCUCGGAGUUACUGGGCAUAAAGGGCGCGUAGGCGGUCGAGUGCGUCGGUGGUGAAAUCCCCGGGCUCAACCCGGGAACUGCCAUCGAUACGGCCCGACUUGAGUGCGGGAGGGGAGAGUGGAACUCCUGGUGGAGCGGUGAAAUGCGUAGAUAUCAGGAGGAACGCCGGUGGCGAAAGCGACUCUCUGGUCCGCAACUGACGCUGAGGCGCGAAAGCCAGGGGAGCAAACGGGAUUAGAUACCCCGGUAGUCCUGGCCCUAAACGAUGAGCACUAGGUAGUGGCGAGUCCGACUCGUCACUGCUGAAGCAAAUGUAAUAAGUGCUCCGCCUGGGGAGUAUGGUCGCAAGGCUA
rnacentral:rRNA from 1 species